AUUGGACGCUGGCGGCAUGCCUUACACAUGCAAGUCGAACGGCAGCGGACCUUCGGGUGCCGGCGAGUGGCGAACGGGUGAGUAAUAUAUCGGAACGUACCUUUCAGUGGGGGAUAACGUAGCGAAAGUUACGCUAAUACCGCAUAUUCUGUGAGCAGGAAAGCAGGGGAUCGCAAGACCUUGCGCUGAUUGAGCGGCCGAUAUCAGAUUAGCUAGUUGGUGAGGUAAAGGCUCACCAAGGCGACGAUCUGUAGCGGGUCUGAGAGGAUGAUCCGCCACACUGGAACUGAGACACGGUCCAGACUCCUACGGGAGGCAGCAGUGGGGAAUUUUGGACAAUGGGCGCAAGCCUGAUCCAGCCAUGCCGCGUGAGUGAGAAGGCCUCGGUGUAAG
rnacentral:rRNA from 1 species